rnacentral:rRNA from 1 species
GGGGAAUUUUCCGCAAUGGGCGAAAGCCUGACGGAGCAAGACCGCGUGGGGGAAGAAGGCUCUUGGGUUGUAAACCCCUUUUCUCUGGGAAGAAAGUUGUGAAAGCAACCUGACGGUACCAGAGGAAUCAGCAUCGGCUAACUCCGUGCCAGCAGCCGCGGUAAGACGGAGGAUGCAAGCGUUAUCCGGAAUGAUUGGGCGUAAAGCGUCCGCAGGUGGCAGUUCAAGUCUGCUGUCAAAGACCGGGGCUCAACCUCGGAAAGGCAGUGGAAACUGAACAGCUAGAGUAUGGUAGGGGCAAAGGGAAUUCCUGGUGUAGCGGUGAAAUGCGUAGAGAUCAGGAAGAACAUCGGUGGCGAAGGCGCUUUGCUGGACCAUAACUGACACUCAGGGACGAAAGCUAGGGGAGCGAAUGGGAUUAGAUACCCCAGUAGUCCUAGCCGUAAACGAUGGAUACUAGGUGUUGUCUGUAUCGACCCGGACAGUGCCGUAGCUAACGC